CCCUUUGAAUGAGUACAAUAGAAAGGUAAGAGUAAGAACGAGAAAGGUUUCGGGGACGAAACCUUCUUUAAGGGGGGUAGACUUGUAACGCCCCAAAAACCGAAUUAUUAAAUUUCGAGCAUGUUUUGUUUUACACGAUGUGACAUGGUAACUAAGUUAGUUAACUUAGUUAUAGUUACAAGUUAAAUAUAAGGGAUGGAAAAAUUUGUGACUAACAAUUAACAAAUUACAAGGGUUAAAAGAGGAUAAAUAAGAAAGUGUUUUAUUUAAAGAAAUGAAGUUGUGGCAAGUAUGGAAAUAUGGUGAAUCUUGAGGGGCCAAACUUGGGCAACUUGAAAGAUGAAAUUACAUAAACUUAAAAAAAUAAAACACACACAUUAGAGAGGUGUGUGUGGGCGAUGGAUUGAGCAGGGGAGAAGACAAACCCUAAAAACCACAAAAUUCCCCAAAUUGGAAGAGAAAAAUGAAGGUUUGAUGGAUGCAUGAGCUAUAUUCCCAACCAUCUACACAAGAUAAACACAUGCAUUAGGGAUCAUGUGGAAGUGGACUCAAGCACGAAAGACUAACGGGUCAAGAGGGGACAAGGAAGCCAAUGCGAAAAUGGACGCUCAAGUGUAACGCAGGAAUAGCAGAGAAGUCUCACCGCGGGUCGUAUGAUCAGAUGGAAAGCCGGAAUGUAAAGAGUUAACGGAACGAAAAAUAAACGUGAAUGAAUUUUACAUGUUUACGAUGCGUACUGAUGUUUAUGAAUUUUAUGUGGUGAGCGCAGGUAGUACGAGAUACGAAGGAUCUUCAAGGGAUAGAGAUCAAGGACCGAGUCACAAGACAGAUUGUACGGGAACGUUGGUGUUGAAAUUUAGAAAACCCAUGUCAUGUAUUUAAUUGUAAAUGAGUCGGUUGAUGACUUCAUGUGAAAAAGUUGUGUUAAAAUGAAAUUUUAAAUAA